rnacentral:rRNA from 1 species
CUACGGGGUGCUCCAGUGGGGAAUAUUGCACAAUGGAGGAAACUCUGAUGCAGCAACGCCGCGUGGAGGAUGACACUUUUCGGAGCGUAAACCCCUUUUAUAUAGGAAGAAGAUGACGGUACUAUAUGAAUAAGCGCCGGCUAACUCCGUGCCAGCAGCCGCGGUAAUACGGAGGGCGCAAGCGUUACUCGGAAUCACUGGGCGUAAAGAGCGUGUAGGCGGAUUAAAAAGUCAGAAGUGAAAUCCUAUAGCUUAACUAUAGAACUGCUUCUGAAACUCUUAAUCUAGAAUAUGGGAGAGGUAGAUGGAAUUUCUGGUGUAGGGGUAAAAUCCGUAGAGAUCAGAAGGAAUACCGAUUGCGAAGGCGAUCUACUAGAACAUUAUUGACGCUGGGAAGCGAAAGCGUGGGGAGCAAACAGGAUUAGAUACCCCGGUAGUC